rnacentral:rRNA from 1 species
ACUCCUACGGGAGGCAGCAGUGAGGAAUCUUCCACAAUGGGCGAAAGCCUGAUGGAGCGACACCGCGUGAAGGAUGAAGCCUUUGUUGGUGUAAACUUCUUUUCUCUCCGAAGAUAAUGACGGUAGGAGAGGAAUAAGGGGCGGCAAACUUCGUGCCAGCAGCCGCGGUAAUA